UACGGAGGGUGCAAGCGUUAUCCGGAUUCACUGGGUUUAAAGGGUGCGUAGGUGGGCAGUUAAGUCAGUGGUGAAAUCUCCGGGCUCAACCCGGAAACUGCCAUUGAUACUAUCUGUCUUGAAUAUCGUGGAGGUAAGCGGAAUAUGUCAUGUAGCGGUGAAAUGCUUAGAUAUGACAUAGAACACCCAUUGCGAAGGCAGCUUACUACGGAUUGAUUGACACUGAGGCACGAAAGCGUGGGGAUCAAACAGG
rnacentral:rRNA from 1 species